UUUCGGUAAGGCCGGUUUCUCCCUCUCCCUCACGAGCCGAGGAUGACGGAAACUGGGUUUCCCUUCGCCGGCACUGUUCUUGCUCCACAGUCCAUCAAAUCACUCCAAACUUCUUCCAUUAGCUUCGUAUGGUCCUUGCGCACCCGUCUGUGGCAGCCUUACACGGCGGCGCAGCCUGAAUCAGCGGCGACGAGCUCGUUCCAAUUUGAGUUCGAUUUUAGUCAACGCCUGUUUUCUCCUAGCUCCGGCCACCAAAACUUCCGAUCUUUAGCUCCAUGAACUCACCUCAACCUGCUGAUCAUCAUACUAAAAUGAUUUCACCUGGAGUGACCGGUUUCAUGUUCGUCGGAGCUCGGUCGGUUUUCGAUCCGAAACCAAAAUCUUUCGAUCGGUAUAUCUCGAGCUGUAGUGCAUCGUUUUGAUUGAUUCUUGAUCCAAUGGGUUCGCCUUGAUGUUCUUAACAACUCUCUAGAAGGAAUCGAAGCCUAAAAUUGAAGUUUUUACGUCGAAAUCAUGGCUCACUGGUUUCUGCAUUUUCUCGCCGGUUUCUGGAAAUUUUCCGGCCACCGUCAUACUGUUCAAGGUGAUUGACGGUCUUCCUUGGUGAGCGGUUUUGAUGUGUUUUGUGAAAUUGAAGACGCAGCGGGAUUAGAGCGGGUAGUCCUGCAGGUCAGGAGGAUCAUGACGGAGAUCGUGCGGAUUAGAGUAUGGGUUUUAGUUUUACAGUUUUGUAAAUUGCGAGGUGAGUGAUGCUCAAUUGGAGCUUUACAAUUUUACUUUGUACAAGUGAGUUGUAUUAUUUAAAUUAAGUUUUUUUUUUUAGAUUUGUAAUUUGAGUGGUUGCGUUGUAGUUGUAUAUUCAUGUUUCGGAUUUGAAUUUAUUAUUCAAAAUUCGGGGCGUGACAAUUGGUCUCUCUCCGGUCACACUUGUAUCACACUUACCAGGU